CCUACGGGGGGCAGCAGUGGGGGAUAUUGCACAAUGGGGGAAACCCUGAUGCAGCGACGCCGCGUGUGGGAAGACGGUCCUCUGGAUUGUAAACCACUGUCCCCAGGGACGAAGAUGACGGUACCUGGGGAGGAAGCUCCGGCCAACUACGUGCCAGCAGCCGCGGUAAUACGUAGGGAGCGAGCGUUGUCCGGAAUUACUGGGUGAAAAGGGAGCGUAGGCGGGACUGCAAGUUGGGUGUCAAAUCUACCGGCGCAACCGGUAGCCGCACUCAAAACUGCAGUUCUUGAGUGAAGUAGAGGCAGGCGGAAUUCCUAGUGUAGCGGGGAAAUGCGUAGAUAUUAGGAGGAACACCAGUGGCGAAGGCGGCCUGCUGGGCUUUUACUGACGCUGAGGCUCGAAAGUGUGGGGAGCAAACAGGAUUAGAUACCCCAGUAGUC
rnacentral:rRNA from 1 species